rnacentral:rRNA from 1 species
CAGCAGCCGCGGGAAUACGUAGGGUGCGAGCGUUAAUCGGAAUUACUGGGCGUAAAGCGUGCGCAGGCGGCUAUGUAAGACAGUUGUGAAAUCCCCGGGCUCAACCUGGGAACUGCAUCUGUGACUGCAUAGCUAGAGUACGGUAGAGGGGGAUGGAAUUCCGCGUGUAGCAGUGAAAUGCGUAGAUAUGCGGAGGAACACCGAUGGCGAAGGCAAUCCCCUGGACCUGUACUGACGCUCAUGCACGAAAGCGUGGGGAGCAAACAGGAUUAGAUACCCGAGUAGUCCCUGUCUCUUAUAA